rnacentral:rRNA from 1 species
GGGUCAUUAGGUUGGUCGUGCCACCGGUACGUACUGGUCUCACUGAUUCCUCCUUCCUGAAGAACCGUAAUGCCAUUAAUUUGGUGUUGCGGGGAAACAGGACUGUUACUCUGAAAAAAUUAGAGUGUUUAAAGCAAGCUAACGCUUGAAUACAUUAGCAUGGAAUAAUGAAAUAGGACGAUCGAUCCUAUUUUGUUGGUUUCUAGGAUUGACGUA